AGUGAACGCUGGCGGUAGGCCUAACACAUGCAAGUCGAACGGCAGCACAGUAAGAGCUUGCUCUUACGGGUGGCGAGUGGCGGACGGGUGAGGAAUACAUCUGAAUCUACUUUUUCGUGGGGGAUAACGUAGGGAAACUUACGCUAAUACCGCAUACGACCUACGGGUGAAAGCAGGGGAUCUUCGGACCUUGCGCGAUUGAAUGAGCCGAUGUCGGAUUAGCUAGUUGGCGGGGUAAAGGCCCACCAAGGCGACGAUCCGUAGCUGGUCUGAGAGGAUGAUCAGCCACACUGGAACUGAGACACGGUACAGACUCCUACGGGAGGCAGCAGUGGGGAAUAUUGGACAAUGGGCGCAAGCCUGAUCCAGCCAUACCGCGUGGGUGAAGAAGGCCUUCGGGUUGUAAAGCCCUUUUGUUGGGAAAGAAAAGCAGCAGGUUAAUACCCCGCUGUUCUGACGGUACCCAAAGAAUAAGCACCGGCUAACUUCGUG
rnacentral:rRNA from 1 species